UACAGAGGGGGCAAGCGUUGUUCGGAAUUACUGGGCGUAAAGGGCGCGUAGGCGGCCUGCUAAGUCGAACGUGAAAUCCCCGAGCUCAACUCGGGAACUGCGUCCGAUACUGGCAGGCUUGAAUCCGGGAGAGGGAUGCGGAAUUCCAGGUGUAGCGGUGAAAUGCGCAGAUAUCGGGAGGAACACCGGCGGCGAAGGCGGCACUCUGGGCCGGUACUGACGCUGAGGAGCGAAAGCGUGGGGAGCAAACAGG
rnacentral:rRNA from 1 species